CCUGCUACAUGCAAGGGAGAUAUUUGGGAAUACUGAGUAUUGCCCUAAAAUGGCCAAAGCCAUCACCUUAAAUACCAUCUUCAUCGAAAAACAGAAGAAGCUUAUGAUUAUUGUGCAGAUUUAAGUCUUAGUUUUCUCCAUUGAUAAGAAUUUCUUGAGAUUUAGUCUUCCUUCCAUUCCCAGUGCGGAGAGGGAGACAACCUUUCUAAUAAAGAUUUCCUUUGUAAUGCAAACUUCCCUCACAGAAGGGCCAUUUCGACUUGGUUUUCAAAGACUGUGUCAUAUGUCUUUUUAAAAAGAAGGGUGAUCAGCUCAAAAUAAUCCUAUGCCAAGAGGCAGGUGUAUUUUGGGGUGGCAUAUUCUGCCCCUUUGAUAUGGAUGAACCCCAAUUUGCUUAUGCUUUUUUCUACUGAAUUGCACCUCAAUUUAAGUUUAUAGCCAUCAUGAAUAGAGAUCCUUGGACAUACUUCUUCAAAGCAAUUGUCUAAAUACUGGAGGCACGAUGUUGGAUCUUCAGAUGAGCCUCAUUUAACUUUGGAAAAAACCUCCAAAAUAGUUUUUUAAAUAGCUGUAUGUGUUGCCUGGUGGCUCAGCAGGUUAAGGAUCCAGUGUUGUGAAAGCUGUGGAUGAGUUCAAUCCCUGGCCUGGGAACUUUAACUGGCCACUUGUGCAGCUGAAAAUAAAGUAGCUGUUUAUGCAUUUCACCAGCAGCUAAGAGUUCCUGUUUCUUCCAGUAGGUGUGCAGUGCUAUUUCAUUGAUGUUUUAAUUUGUAAUUCCCUAAUAAUACAUGAUGCUGAGCAUAUUCUUAUAUGCUUAUUUAUUAUCUGUAAAUCUUUGGCCAGAUGUAGUUCCAGUCUUUACCACCUCCCUUUUUUUUGGCCGCUCCCGUGGCAUGUGGAAGUUCCCGGGCCAGGGAUCAAACCCCAGCCACAGCAGUGACCAUGCUGGGUCCUUAACUCCUAAGUCACCAGGGAAUGCCCCUUUACCCAUUUUUAAUGGUGUUUGUCCUAGAUUUCUUGGUGUAGUUUGAAUCCAGAUCUUUUUUAUCAGUUUGUGGAUUGGCUUUUGGUUUUCUGAAUAAAAUACUUAAUAGAGUUUAAAAUUUUAACUCUUUAAAGUCCAUGUUCAAAAUUUUAUUUCUUUUGUGGAUAGACUUUUGGGGUUUUAUGUUAAAAUUCAUCACCAAACCCAAGGUUAUGUAGAUUUUGUUAUGUUUUCAUCGACAAUUUUUACAGUUUUCCAUUUUAAAUUUGGAUAAUUUUGAGUGAAUUUUGGUGUGAGUUAUAAAGUGUGUGUCUUCUUUUGAUUUACAGGUGUAUUCCAAUUCUAUAAUUUUCAAGAAGUCUUGGAAUAUUUGGCUCUAUUUCAGUUUGAAUUUCCAAAUUUAGUGAUUUCUGCAGGCUUCCCCUGAACUGAGGUUCCCAGCUGGCCAGCAAGCGGAACCAAGCCCACCUCCCUGACCCUUGAACAGAAGUCCAACCUGUGAACUUGGUUCCUGGGGUAACAUGGCUCCAUGUGCCACUGAUAGAAGCUUGGUCUCUUUAGGAUCCACCAUGAGUUCAGCUUCAGGACAGCACUCAAUCAAGUCCAUGCAGACAGGAACCAGUUGUCUUUAGGAACUUCCAGAGGAGGCACCACCAUGGGAUUACAAGGGCACAACUCUGAGUCCACGAUACCAGAGUGAGGCCAGCACCUACACCUGAGGAAGGAGUUACUGAGCCACCCACUCAGUACACCUGUGACCUGACACAGACCUUAGGGGACUUUUGAAAAGGACAAAUUUACCAAGAGAUGUGGGGGAUAGGCUUAGUCAUUGGCUUCGUCAUUGCUCUUGCCUUACUUGGCUUGUGCUGCUGUGUCAGACAUCUCUGUCCACGCUGGACCCAGGGGAGACUAACACUGAAAGUAGGGUGAGCAGCCAUUAUUGUCUGUUCCUUCUUACCUUCUCUGCUCUCUUACAGCCAUCCACAUGGACUAGGACCUGAAUGUAGUAAUAAAUUUCUCGAAGCUUAUACCCCUGUACAAAAUCUGUCCUGGUGCUGGUCUCUCACCUCCCACCCACAAAGUAAUACCUAUGGAUUAAAGGUAUUAUUACAUUUUACCGCCAAAACGACAACCUCACUGCCACCUUACAUCCUAGGCCUGCUAAAUUUAUCCCUUUUGAAGUUCACACCUCGUCCCUAACACAGCUUCUCUGUUUGGACCCCACCCUCACAAUAACAUCUGUAGCAAAUACAGAGCACUCAUUCUGUAUUGCUGCCACUGCCCCGAUCAGUGGCUCCUACCAAAGGGAGGAACUUGUAGUAACACCCUGGGGCUUCUCUGGACUCUGAUCAGUGCUUCUUCCCUUACCCCACAGCUUAAGGGACCCAGGAUUGACUCCUAUGGAAAUCUCAACCCCUCAGUGCCCUCUGCACCAACGCACACAGGGACAAGAUUAGAGGUGUGUACUUGUUGGAGAGGGAAGAUAGCAAUUUGUCUGGCAUUUAGUAUAUGGCCCUCCUGAGGCCUGGGAGAGAACCAUUAGUCCAGAAUCCUCCCCCCGUGAUCCCAGCUGUGUAGGUAGGCUUCUCUCCCCACACUGCAGGGCAACCCCUCUUGGGCUAGCCACUCAGAGAGGUGGUGGUUCAACUCCUCAGAAAUGCACCAGGCAUGGGCUUCCCCCAGGUAACCUAUUCCUUUGUGGCCUGAGAGUAAACCAGUUGCCCCAUCAGAACAACCCCCAAAUCUUUCUCUUCUCUGGGAUGGGCUCAAGCCUACACCCUUGCUUACAUAAUACCCAGUUUUUAUACAGUGCACACUAGGCUGGCUAAGUCCUAGGAACCUAGAUCUAACCAUUCAUAAUGUCACCCAGCUUUGAGAUAAAAGGGCAGUAGGACUUAAUUCUGGCAGGAGUACGGAUUGCUCUGGUACCGGUGGCCCCCUGGGGAGCUUUCACAUAUCAUGAAACCACUUUACAGAAUCUCUCACAGGCCUUUGAGGACUUGUCUAAAAACAUGGGGUAUGCCUUUCAAGGGCCCUGUAUUUCUGUGGACUCACUAUCAAAUGUUGUUCCAACAGUACGCUAGCCCUUGACUAUCUCUAGGCUAGGCAAGAGGGAGUCUGCAGUUAUCUGUAAAACCUGCUGCAUGUAUGUCACUACCUCCAUCUAACCAGAUUUAAACAUAAGAGAUACAUGAACAAGCUCUAAGGCUGCAUAGAUCUAACACACAAGGUCCAUCUCCAGGAUCCAUCUGGAUAUGGGCAGACAGCCUCCCCGCUUAACAUGGGUUCUUCCAUUUCUUAGCCUACUAACUGCCUUUAUUCUUCUGCUUGUCUUGGAGCCUUGCCUCCUUAAAUGCCUUGUCACCUUUUUUAGUAAAUGACUUGAAGCCAUCAGACUUCAGAUGAUACUAAGACAAGGCUAUGUGCAGCUGGGACUGCAGCCUGGAGACAAAUCAGACUUAUCUGAGGCUAGUCAGGAACAGUUCUUCUCUAAUCCAGGGAGAAACCACACCCGUGUUCCUCAGGAAGCAGCUUCAGAAGAUAGACCGUCAGUCAGAGGGUCUGGAGAUGAGGAAGGUAUACAAAGAGACCAACAAAAACCAGAUGAACCAGGUGGAAUCAGGGUGAUGAGGAAUCUGACCUCCAACAGGCCCUGAGUCUCAUUCUACAUGGAUUUUACUACAUUAGCUACUAAAUGACACACCUACCAACAGCCAUGACCAGAAGAUGCAGAAAAAGAGGAUAAGGGAGUGGUACCCCAUUUCCAGGAAAGCCCUGCCCCUUCCCUGGUGGACUAGCUUCAUUCCUCCUCCCUUUGUCUUUUCUCUUUAAAAUCAAAUUCCUCUCACCACCUGGGUGAUAAGUUGAUCUGUGAACUAAGUUGCUGCUUCUUCAUUCUUUGGCCACAGACUAAAACCUGGGCUGCACUGAUCUCAGCUUUAGUUUUGGUUUUUAGCUACAUGAACUAGCCUCUAUUCUAGACUUUCUUUUAAUUCUUGUCCUUAUACCAAUAACAAGCAUUAUUGGAAGUAACCUUCCCCAAAGAAUCUUUGCAGUAUAUUUAUUACCCUGAUUUGGUAAAUCAGAAAAGGAAAACAUCUCUUCCUAAGACUCAUGGAAGCAGCUUCAGCUCCCAAAGCUUAAGUUCUACUUACACUAUUCCCUGAAUAACUGCUUGUAGGACAUUCACUUUAAGUGCUGUGUAAACAUUAAAAAAUGACGUCGUAGAAACUGAUAUUACUACAUACUUUGUGCAUUAUAUGCCCUUCCACAUAUAAGUUAGUACAUACGCUUUAUCUUAUAUAAUAUAUGCUCAUAUAAUCACAUUCUCAAUCCCA
rnacentral:lncRNA from 1 species